UUACGGGAGGCAGCAGUGAGGAAUCUUGCGCAAUGGGCGAAAGCCUGACGCAGCAACGCCGCGUGGAGGAUGAAGGCCCUUGGGUUGUAAACUCCUGUCGGCUGGGAAGAAAUCGUUCGGGGCUAAUACCUCCGGACGUUGACUGUACCAGCAAAGGAAGCCCCGGCUAACUCUGUGCCAGCAGCCGCGGUAAUACAGAGGGGGCCAGCGUUAUUCGGAAUUAUUGGGCGUAAAGGGCGCGUAGGCGGCCACGCGUGUCUUUCGUGAAAUCCCUCGGCUUAACUGAGGACGUGCGGAAGAAACUGCGAGGCUCGAGUCCGGGAGAGGGGGGUGGAAUUCCCAGUGUAGCGGUGAAAUGCGUAGAUAUUGGGAGGAACACCGGUGGCGAAGGCGGCCCCCUGGACCGGUACUGACGCUGAGGCGCGAAAGCGUGGGGAGCAAACGGGAUUAGAUACCCUGGUAGU
rnacentral:rRNA from 1 species